CCUAUAGCACGACGUACUGCAGGUUGUCAACUGAUUUCUAAACAAACGAAACUCUUCCUUGUUAACAUUAAAUGACCUCUUUCGAAGAAAUAUGUUGUUUAAUUGUUUUACAGACUUGUACUAACUUUGCUACAACUGUAACGUUAACCAGAAGAGUGCGAAAUACCAGCUGACGUUGCUCUGGAAUGAAAUGAAAGGGGAAGUGAAACUUAUCAAGGCAGCUGGUUGGACAUAAACCAAAAGGAGCGGAGAUACAACAGAAAGCAAACUUUAAGGUGCUGAACAAGUGAAGGAGACAUAUGAGAAUGGGAAGAGAGGGGGUGAAGUUAGAGUUCAACUAGAGAGUGUCGCGAAGGGAGAGGUUCCUGCAGAUCCAGAGAGCAUGGACGUUG